UGUGGGAGCGAGCUUGCUCGCGAUUGCGACGGGUCAGUCAACAUCGAUGCUGAAUGUUGUUGCGCCAUCGCGAGCAAGCUCGCUCCCACA
rnacentral:misc_RNA from 1 species